UUGAAAUGGAGCUUUAGCAGAAGUUCAAGCUGGAAGACUCCGCCCCCUCCGUUCACCCAUCGACGUCAUGCUCAUCCCCGUCCUCAGCCUGGACCUCACCCUGCUAUCAGGCUCUGCAUAAAAGGAUCCACACCCAAACCGUCAGACGCUUCCCAGCUGCGUUCAAUCCGUUCAUCUGCACGAUCUCAGCCCCUCCACAGCUUCGUGAUUCCCCGCAGGACCUCGCAUCCUGCGUUGGUCCUUUCUUUUUCCCCUCAGACGCUCCCCGGAUGCAAGAGAUUUCUCCCGGCCCUAGCCUCGAUCAGUUCAAGCAGCUUCUCCCGCCUAUCUCUCACCUGCCUAGGAUUUCACUUACUCCACGAUCCACCUCCGAAAAACAUAAGCCCUCCGGUCACCUUGUUUACUUUGACCCCUUUGGCCCGUGAUGCACGACGCAUUACCUCCCGCACAGUCGUGAGACAAGGUAGCUAACUGCGGAGCUCUACGUGGAGGGAACAGCCUGUUUAAAGAUGCCGUAAAGAAAAACGACAGAAUCAAAAGGGAGGAUCUGAGGGAAGCAGCAAAGGCCAUCUUCCUUCGCCCGCCAAGCUUCUCUCACUUCCGCAUGCCGUCAUGGUCAGCACCUUUCCGGAUUUCCCCCUCUACGCCCGUCUCAGGCUGUCAGGAUGCUCCUCAGAUGCAAGCGAUUCCUCGAUGAUUUCAAGCGGCGUCUCCCGCCUUGAUGAUUUCAACGCCUUCACACCAGUGCCACGCUAAGGAUCAGCAUGCCUACGAUUUCCCUCUCCUGCAUGGUCGCUGUCAGCCCGCUCAGCAACACCUCUCUGGUUUUCCCUCACUACGCCUGUUUCAGGCUACCAGGGUAAGACGUAGCAUUCUCAUGUCUCAUUCGAGUCUCGCAAUACUUCGUAACGCAGACACUUUUCAUUAGUUUAUCCCCUCCCGAACACUUUGGCCGUAUAUACAUGCGCCACUCAGGUUCUAAUGUUCAAGGACUUUUAUCCGAACAUUGACUUAGCUAAAACAUCGUCACCUGUUUCUCCGAGGCGCCUUUAAACAUAACAUUGGUUCAGCAGGUGACCAGCUGUUGCGUAAGAGCUGCAAGGCGUACGUUAGAAUCCAGUCAGCUUUGGAGGGAUGUCUAUCGUAUAAAUAGCAGAUGCAUCUGCACUCAACUGCGAGCAGUGCAGCCCAUCGUUAACGGGUCGUUUGGUCACCGCAGUUAUCUAUCUGCUUCACAUUAGUUAUUCGUCGCUAGUCAGUGCAGUAUUCUUUGUCGUCGAGCUGUAUUAUAAUUUAUGCUACCCAGGCCCGGCAGCGCGGGCGGUCACUUCAGUUGUGUCCCGGCUGUUCUGCAAGCCCCGUGUUUUACCUACAUGGCCAACUCUUUUAUAUUCCUGCAUCGAUUUGGUACCGGAGUUUCCUCCAUCUCCCUUAUCGCGUCCUCUGCAGCCUUGUUCUGCAAUUAAAACAGUUUUAUGUGCUGUUAACAUAAUCUAUUUCAAACGCAACUUGAGCCCCGAGACGUUCACACCAGUCGCCAACGGCGUAGGAGCCGCUAGUAUUACGCCAAUACUUUGCGUAAUUUAACCGACCGAGUAGAGUAGUGCCGCUGGAUGCAGGUGAUGUUAGCUUAGUUAUGACUAAUUUCAAUACAACCCCUUAAGCUUGUUAACAAGAUGCCCGUGACCAUUGUCGUCGUGUGUGUUCAGCUACGUAGAUUCAUUCUGCCUGUUGAAGAUUUUAGGUUGUAAUUUUGGAAAAUCUCUGGCUCCAUCUUCUCACGGAUCCCAGGUUCUCCCGGCGGGCCGAGUUAAAUCACACAGGAAACGAGUGUAGACAUCUCAGAAUUAGAGUUUAAUCCAAAGAAACGCACAUGAAAUUACAACAGAACUGCAGAACAGAGACAUGCAUUAAUUUACCUGAGUCGAAUGGAAGAAGGAAGCAAAGACGUGCUUAGACGUCUUUGGAGAAUUACAAGAGCAAAUCCGAGUAGUUACUGCUGUGUACAAAGUCUUAUAGUAAAGGCGUACUCUAGACUUUUAUUUAUUCUAAUAAGGCGUAGCUUUGCUCAUCCAACCAGGAGUUGUCUCUGAUCCUCUUUAGAGUUAGACACUCCCUGCAAUUUGUUUUCAAGAUCAAGCUCAAACUGUCACCUUUAUCUAAACAAGUGGAAGCAGAGCUUCUCAUCUACUGGCCUGGACUCCUGCUGUUUCAAGGCUUUUCACAGAUCAGUGUGAAAGCUGGAACUUCUCCUGAUUUCCCACACAAAGGGCAGUUCAAAAGAUCUCGGCAAACAAUCUACUUUAUCUACAGGUAACAUAAAGGUUAACAGGACAGAAUAAGUUAUUAAUCUGAGAACUAUAAUUAGGCUUUCCAAUAAAGACAUGGCAAGUUUUUAAAACUAGCAUAUUUUAAAUUUACUCCUCAUCAUGACCUAAACAGUCAGUUCAAUCAGCUAAUCUCGUCUGGAGCAGGGGUUCGCGUCUCGGCUGGCCUUCUCAUACCGCGGCAUGAGGCAUAAAUUGUCAUUCACCUAAUUGUGGACUUUUACCCUGUUGCGACGCAAUACGUGUAGUAGAGUGGCUUGCCAACGUAACAUGAAGUCGACUAAUAAUUCCUCUUCAGUUCGGUUGAGUCUGUCCAGCGCUUCUGCUAAUUAUUAAUCGGCCUUAAAUUCUUGUUGACGAGGGCAUUGUCCAAUCAUUGUUUCUAAAAA